rnacentral:pre_miRNA from 1 species
UAUAUACUCCCUCCGUCCGAAAAAGCUUGUCCCACAAAUGGAUGUGUCUAGCAUCAAGUUAGUGUUAGAUACAUCCAUUUAAGGGACAAACUUUUUUAAGCGGAGAAAGUACAUA